AUUGAACGCUGGCGGCAUGCCUUACACAUGCAAGUCGAACGGCAGCACGGGAGCAAUCCUGGUGGCGAGUGGCGAACGGGUGAGUAAUAUAUCGGAACGUGCCCGGUCGUGGGGAUAACGUAGCGAAAGCUACGCUAAUACCGCAUACGACCUACGGAUGAAAGCGGGGGAUCGCAAGACCUCGCGCGAUUGGAGCGGCCGAUAUCAGAUUAGGUAGUUGGUGAGGUAAAGGCUCACCAAGCCGACGAUCUGUAGCUGGUCUGAGAGGACGACCAGCCACACUGGGACUGAGACACGGCCCAGACUCCUACGGGAGGCAGCAGUGGGGAAUUUUGGACAAUGGGCGCAAGCCUGAUCCAGCAAUGCCGCGUGCAGGAUGAAGGCCU
rnacentral:rRNA from 1 species